UAAAAAACAUUGGCAACCGAG
rnacentral:siRNA from 1 species